rnacentral:rRNA from 1 species
AUUGAACGCUGGCGGCAGGCUUAACACAUGCAAGUCGAACGGUAACAUAAAGAAGCUUGCUUCUUUGAUGACGAGUGGCGGACGGGUGAGUAAUGCUUGGGAAUCUAGCUUAUGGAGGGGGAUAACUACGGGAAACUGUAGCUAAUACCGCGUAAUAUCGAAAGAUUAAAGUGUGGGACCUUCGGGCCACAUGCCAUAGGAUGAGCCCAAGUGGGAUUAGGUAGUUGGUGAGGUAAAGGCUCACCAAGCCGACGAUCUCUAGCUGGUCUGAGAGGAUGACCAGCCACACUGGGACUGAGACACGGCCCAGACUCCUACGGGAGGCAGCAGUGGGGAAUAUUGCGCAAUGGGGGCAACCCUGACGCAGCCAUGCCGCGUGAAUGAAGAAGGCCUUCGGGUUGUAAAGUUCUUUCGGUAGCGAGGAAGGCAUUUAGUUUAAUAGACUAGGUGAU